rnacentral:rRNA from 1 species
UACGUAGGGGGCAAGCGUUGUCCGGAAUCAUUGGGCGUAAAGCGCGUGUAGGCGGCCCGAUAAGUCCGCUGUGAAAGUCCAGGGCUCAACCCUGGAAUGCCGGUGGAUACUGUCGGACUAGAGUACGGAAGAGGCGAGUGGAAUUCCCGGUGUAGCGGUGAAAUGCGCAGAUAUCGGGAGGAACACCAAUUGCGAAGGCAGCUCGCUGGGACGUCACUGACGCUGAGACGCGAAAGCGUGGGGAGCGAACAGG